AUUGAACGCUGGCGGCAGGCCUAACACAUGCAAGUCGGACGGUAGCACAGAGGAGCUUGCUCCUCGGGUGACGAGUGGCGGACGGGUGAGUAAUGUCUGGGGAUCUGCCCGAUAGAGGGGGAUAACCACUGGAAACGGUGGCUAAUACCGCAUAACGUCGCAAGACCAAAGAGGGGGACCUUCGGGCCUCUCACUAUCGGAUGAACCCAGGUGGGAUUAGCUAGUAGGCGGGGUAACGGCCCACCUGGGCGACGAUCCCUAGCUGGUCUGAGGGGAGUACCAGGCACACUGGAACUGGGCAAGGGUCCAGAGUCCUACGGGAGGCAGCAGUGGGGAAUAUUGCACAAGGGGCGCAAGCCUGAUGCAGCCAUGCCGCGUGUAUGAAGAAGGCCUUGGGGUUGUAAAGUACUUUCAGCGGGGAGGAAGGCGAUGUGGUUAAUAACCGCGUCGAUUGACGUUACCCGCAGAAGAAGCACCGGCUAACUCCGUGCAAGCAGCCGCCGUAA
rnacentral:rRNA from 1 species